UACGGAGGGUGCGAGCGUUGUCCGGAAUCACUGGGCGUAAAGGGCGCGUAGGCGGCCUGAUAAGUAGGGGGUGAAAUCCUGCGGCUUAACCGCAGGGCUGCCUUCUAAACUGUCAGGCUCGAGCACAGUAGAGGCAGGUGGAAUUCCCGGUGUAGCGGUGAAAUGCGCAGAUAUCAGGAAGAACACCCGUGGCGAAGGCGGCUCUCUGGAACGCAACUGACACUGAGGGACGAAAGCUAGGGGAGCGAAAGGG
rnacentral:rRNA from 1 species